AGUGACGAAGGCCUUCGGGUCGUAAAGCUCUGUUGUUAGGGAAGAACAAGUACCGUUCGAAUAGGGCGGUACCUUGACGGUACCUAACCAGAAAGCCACGGCUAACUACGUGCCAGCAGCCGCGGUAAUACGUAGGUGGCAAGCGUUGUCCGGAAUUAUUGGGCGUAAAGCGCGCGCAGGCGGUCUUUUAAGUCUGAUGUGAAAGCCCACGGCUCAACCGUGGAGGGUCAUUGGAAACUGGAGGACUUGAGUGCAGAAGAGGAGAGUGGAAUUCCACGUGUAGCGGAUGAAAUGCGUAGAUAUGUGGAGGAACACCAGUGGCGAAGGCGGCUCUCUGGUCUGUAACUGACGCUGAGGCGCGAAAGCGUGGGGAGCAAACAGGAUUAGAUACCCUGGUAGUCCACGCCGUAAACGAUGAGUGCUAGGUGUUGGGGGGUUCCACCCUCAGUGCUGAAGUUAACACAUUAAGCACUCCGCCUGGGGAGUACGACCGCAAGGUUGAAACUCAAAGGAAUUGACGGGGGCCCGCACAAGCAGUGGAGCAUGUGGUUUAAUUCGAAGCAACGCGAAGAACCUUACCAGGUCUUGACAUCCUCUGACAAUCCUGGAGACAGGACGUUCCCCUUCGGGGGACAGAGUGACAGGUGGUGCAUGGUUGUCGUCAGCUCGUGUCGUGAGAUGUUGGGUUAAGUCCCGCAACGAGCGCAACCCUUGAUCUUAGUUGCCAGCAUUUAGUUGGGCACUCUAAGGUGACUGCCGGUGACAAACCGGAGGAAGGUGGGGAUGACGUCAAAUCAUCAUGCCCCUUAUGACCUGGGCUACACACGUGCUACAAUGGACGGUACAAAGGGCAGCGACACCGCGAGGUGAAGCAAUCCCAUAA
rnacentral:rRNA from 2 species